UACGAAGGGGGCUAGCGUUGCUCGGAAUCACUGGGCGUAAAGCGCACGUCGGCGGACUUUUAAGUCAGGUGUGAAAUCCCGGGGCUCAACCUCGGAACUGCAUUUGAAACUGGAAGUCUUGAGACCAGGAGAGGUUAGCGGAAUACCGAGUGUAGAGGUGAAAUUCGUAGAUAUUCGGUGGAACACCAGUGGCGAAGGCGGCUAACUGGACUGGUACUGACGCUGAGGUGCGAAAGUGUGGGGAGCAAACAGG
rnacentral:rRNA from 1 species